rnacentral:lncRNA from 1 species
AAAAUCCGUACGUGAAAAUGGUGGGGAUAAUAAUAAAACAUUUUCAAACUGCGUGGUGACGCACUUGCCUUAGCCACCGGUCUCCGCUGCCUUCAAUUCCUCAAUAAAUUAAUUUCGCCUUAAACUGUUUUAAUCAUUUCUUACAUUCGCACUUCCUUUCCAUUUCCUUUUCCCUAUUUGACCAAACCAGCCUUUUCCAUUUCACGCUCACCGGCGUUUCUUCAGCUGCUGCAGAUUCCAAAUAGGCCCAGAAAUCGCUGGACUCCAUUCGCCCGCGGCUCAAGGUCUCAAUUUCAUUUCCUUUUUUUCUUUUUUUUCUAUUGUGUUUUCCAUAUCUAUAAAGUCCAGUCCUUUUGAUCUUGGGAUUUGAGAGAAAGAUUGAGGAGUUGUGGGUUUUUUGAGGG